rnacentral:tmRNA from 2 species
GGGGGCGAAAGGAUUCGACCGGACAAGUUGAGGUACAAGGUGGCGUAUUGAGGUUGUCAGGAGGCCUCAUUAAAAACCUGGCAAAACUAUUAAAUGCCGAACCAAUGGCAAUGGCUGCUUAAUUAACAGUCACGUUUAAUUAAUCUUACCUGCGAGAUUAAUUAAGCGAACAAUAGCAGGUUAGUUUAGUCCAUUCGUUUGGUGUGGACUAAAUGAAACCAUUAACUGAACUGGUCUUGAGGAAUCCUGUCUAUUGGAGUUCUUGAAGGCGAGAUUUAAAAAAUAGACUAUAUACGUAGAAGCCUGUGCUGAAAUGUCUAGGGACGCGGGUUCAAUUCCCGCCGCCUCCACCA